AGACAUCCCACUGAAAAUCAAGAUGAUGUUUUCCCUUUUGGUGAUGAUAAAAUGAUACAAACGGCACAGAGCAGCCUCCACUGAUAUAACCCAGGCUGAGUGUGCUGUAUUAACAUCUGUUGGAAUCCCGGGCCACUUCUCUAGGGAAAGGAAACACCCCCCAACGGGACAGAGAUGGAAUUACGUAUCCAGUGGCCGGCACAAAACAACGCUCCCGUUACACAGAGGCUCAGACACGGUCAGACGGAGUGGUCAGAUUCUGGUCCCACUCGGACACAAAAACGGACUGGGUUCAACAGCUAACAGCCCCGAGUGUCAACAAGUGUCAACAAGACACUCAUAUGGUCCACUCCCCCCUCAUCCCCCGACUUCACACUGCCUCUCCUGAUGAAAAGACAAAAAGACAAUACAUUUGAAAAAUGUAUCUGUACUGUGAUUUGGUGAGUGUCUUGGUCAGUUGUAGAGACACUGCAAACAAUGCAGGGACUUCACAGGCCUAAACUGGAUUGACAUUUAGGACUUUUGGUUAUAAAUGCAGAUUGUGCAGAUUUUGUGUCCUCUAGUAGCACUAACAGAUUUCCAAAAUGUAUUUUGUGUGAUAGGUGGAGAUAAUGUCUGAGUCAUUUUAGAUGUUAGAGGCUGAGGUCCGUGCAUAGGAACACUGUGUUCAGCAAGAGUUUGGACAUUUUAAUAGGGUGAUCAUGUGAUUGUAUUUCCCCUGUAAGAAAUCUUAGAAAUGAUCAUAUUUCAUAGUUUAUAUUUGGGGAUAUAUCGACAAAUACCCAGAGUUUUCUGUGUAAAAGAAGACACAUCAAUGGAAGUUAGAAAAGUUUAAUUUGAACAACAACUCCUGCUGCUGUGUUAGCCAAUACAAGCAUGCUGACUCGCGUGGAGAACUGGCAAGAAAACUGGCAAAUUGUUUUUCUUAUCUGAUCAAACUUCAGCUUUUGUGCUGUUAUAACCAGUACUUUUAGACAAAUUAAAAACAAAAAGUUAGGUAGACAGGUGAGCUGGUGGGAGUUGUUGAAAGGGAGACAUGCAUCAGGUGGGAGUUGUAGUUUUUGAGGACAUUUUUGAAAACUGGCACAGGGGAGGUUAAUUCACUCUACAACGUGAAGGUAUUUGAACAUGUAUCAUAAGAAUAUGACAAUGCACAGUUUCAUGUCAAUUUCAUUUGUAAACUUUUGCUCAACUUCCGGUGUAUAGUUUUGCUAUAACAUACUGGCUUCCGCCAAACACCCCCAGAAAACUAAUCACUUUUUAAAGACACAGUGCUUCUGUCUAAAAGGCAAACAAACACACAAACACAAAAAAGGCCGAUACAAACGGUGUUAGGAAGGAAUGUCAGGCUCUCCGGCUCA
rnacentral:lncRNA from 1 species